GCUGGGGGACUGUUGCAGAAUGAGCUGAAUAUUUUUCAACUUCAUCCAGAAGGGCAUAGAGGGAAGGGCAUCAUGGAGGUCUAAGAAGGCUGUUUCUGUCAAGAAAACACCUCCCUGACUAGGUCCAGAAUCCAUCGUUGGAAGACAGAGUUUCUUAUGUGACCAGGCAAGAUCAAAUUCAGCAGAAUGUUCAGGAGCACUAUACCUGUUUCUUGAGUAUUCUAUUCCCCAAUUCGUUUAUUCACAGGUAUGAUUUUUCCUACUUUGGCAUCUCAGCUACAGAAAUAAUCAUGGAAAAAGAAAUGUGAACAUAGAUAAUCAAGGCUGAGAAAGAUGAAGGCUAUCCACAGGUGAUGAUCUGAAGAGAGACCUACUUUGUCAACACUUUGGUCUUGGAUUGAUAGCCUCUUGAACUGUGAGGAAACACCUUUCUGUUGUUUAAGUCAGGACCACAAAAAUAUUACCAUGCUGUUGGGGAAGUCUUUUGUCAAUAAAGCACUGUUGAGCCAAUAGGAAUCUAGGAGUCCAGGAGGAUUCUGGG